rnacentral:rRNA from 1 species
AGAGUUUGAUCCUGGCUCAGGAUGAACGCUGGCGGCGUGCUUAACACAUGCAAGUCGAACGAUGACUUUUGUGCUUGCACAAAAUGAUUAGUGGCGAACGGGUGAGUAACACGUGAGUAACCUGCCCUUAACUUCGGGAUAAGCCUGGGAAACCGGGUCUAAUACCGGAUACGACGGAUCUCCGCAUGGGGGUCCGUGGAAAGCUUGAUGCGGUUUUGGAUGGACUCGCGGCCUAUCAGCUAGUUGGUUGGGGUAAUGGCCCACCAAGGCGACGACGGGUAGCCGGCCUGAGAGGGUGACCGGCCACACUGGGACUGAGACACGGCCCAGACUCCUACGGGAGGCAGCAGUGGGGAAUAUUGCACAAUGGGCGAAAGCCUGAUGCAGCGACGCCGCGUGAGGGACGAAGGCCUUCGGGUUGUAAACCUCUUUCAGCAGGGAAGAAGCGAAAGUGACGGUACCUGCAGAAGAAGCGCCGGCUAACUACGUGCCAGCAGCCGCGGUAAUACGUAGGGCGCAAGCGUUAUCCGGAAUUAUUGGGCGUAAAGAGCUCGUAGGCGGUUUGUCGCGUCUGCUGUGAAAGCCCGGGGCUCAACCCCGGGUCUGCAGUGGGUACGGGCAGACUAGAGUGCAGUAGGGGAGACUGGAAUUCCUGGUGUAGCGGUGAAAUGCGCAGAUAUCAGGAGGAACACCGAUGGCGAAGGCAGGUCUCUGGGCUGUAACUGACGCUGAGGAGCGAAAGCGUGGGGAGCGAACAGGAUUAGAUACCCUGGUAGUCCAUGCCGUAAACGUUGGGCACU